GGUCUCACUAAGAACAAGAUUUAAAGUCAGACGAGUUCCAAAGAUACUUCCUGAAGAGACUCUUGGAUUUUGCCUGUGACAGCCCUCCCCAGGACGAGGAAGGCAGCCUCCCCUUGGGACAGCACUCUACGGACUUCUCAGUGUUGGAAAGAGCUGGGACUCCUACAGGGAAUUCCUACUCUUCAUAUUUGUUCUCUGCUAAACCAGAGGAGACACAUCUUGCUCUAGAGUUCCCCAGAACCUGCUCUUCUGGGUCAGCCUCCUGCUGUCUUAUUCUUCCAUCUUUUCUCCACCUAUGCCCAAAGCACAACCAAGGUCACUUUGUUUCUUGAGCUGAGUUCACGCUGGAGCAUGCAAUGCAACAGAGCUUCUAUUUCCUGGCAGAUGGACCAUGAGCCUGGGCCAGAGAAUCUGGUGCUGAGCUGCUGCAGUCAGCUGAGCUGCUUACGUAACCUGAAGGCUCUCCUGGGAGGACCAUGCUGUGAAAGGCAGCUCUGGUUUGCUUCCCCUCAGAUAAUGUUUAUAUGGCCUUUUGGUCAGAGAAGAAGCAAAGAUAAUCCCCCUGACCCUCAGGUUGAGGAGACACAGAUCGGCCUUUGCUGAGGGUAGCACAGCAAAUGAGGAUGCAUCUCCCAGCAGGGUCAAAUGCAAACAAAAAUGCUGUGAGACGCAGGACAUCAGGGGCAUCCCAGGGCCUGAAUAUUCUUACUCUGACCAGAGCCGGCUCCGGGCAGCUGUCAGCCAUGCCUUAAAAAUCAGAAGUCUGCACACUUUUUCCGUAAAGGGCCAGGUAUUAAAUCUUUCAGGUUCAUGGGCCACAUGUGGUCUCAGAUGCAACUACCCAGCACUGCCAUUGUGGCAUGGAAGCAGCCAUAGAGACUUUGUAAAUGAAUGGGCACGGUGGCAUUCCAAUAAAACUUCAUUUACAAAAACAA
rnacentral:lncRNA from 1 species